UACGGGGGGGCAAGCGUUGUUCGGAAUUACUGGGCGUAAAGGGCGCGUAGGCGGCCUGUUAAGUCGGACGUGAAAUCCCUCGGCUCAACCGGGGAACUGCGUCUGAUACUGGCGGGCUUGAAUUCGGGAGAGGGAUGUGGAAUUCCAGGUGUAGCGGUGAAAUGCGUAGAUAUCUGGAGGAACACCGGUGGCGAAGGCGGCAUCCUGGACCGACAUUGACGCUGAGGCGCGAAAGCCAGGGGAGCAAACGGG
rnacentral:rRNA from 1 species